rnacentral:rRNA from 1 species
GACGAGUCUCACAAACGUUAUUCGGAAUUACUGGGCUUAAAGGGUGCGUAGGCGGUGGAGUAAGUCGGAUGUGAAAUACCAUAGCUUAACUAUGGAACUGCACUCGAUACUACUUUGCUAGAGUAAGACAGAGGUGAGUGGAACUGAGGGUGGAGCGGUGAAAUGCGUUGAUAUCCUCAGGAACACCGGUGGCGAAGGCGACUCACUGGGUCUUUACUGACGCUGAUGCACGAAAGCUAGGGUAGCAAACGGG